AGUAUGCAUGCCGAAAGACGCUAGCCGACAAUCGAACCCGCAUACGUGGCAGAUUCGCUCGCAACGACGAAAUCAGCGAGAUUCCGAAAUCACUUUCUUCAACUUCGACAACAGAAGAAUAUGAAGACGAAUUCUGGGUUGAGUUCAUCGAAGGAUUAAACGAGGAGGUCAUCGGUUAGAUGGAAGCAGAAGAAUGUGCAGAAUUUCAGUUUCUGUAUCUGUGUCUUUGGAGUCUUGACAGAAGCAUCUUUUGGAAGACCCUUUCUAUGAUACAGCAUACGUGGCAGAUUCGCUCGCAACGACGAAAUCAGCGAGAUUCCGAAAUCACUUUCUUCAACUUCGACAACAGAAGAAUAUGAAGACGAAUUCUGGGUUGAGUUCAUCGAAGGAUUAAACGAGGAGGUCAUCGGUUAGAUGGAAGCAGAAGAAUGUGCAGAAUUUCAGUUUCUGUAUCUGUGUCUUUGGAGUCUUGACAGAAGCAUCUUUUGGAAGACCCUUUCU
rnacentral:sRNA from 1 species